AAAAAAGUCAUACAGGUUAACAUUGACAUUAGGCAGCUCAGAUGUUCUGCAAAAAUUCUCCUUGUGUUCCCCAAAAGAAAAAAGGUUCACACACACGCACCAGGAGGGAUCUGAAGCCCACGCGACACAGACACCUCAACCAAAUGUAAAACAAACGCACUCGAUUUCACUCUUCAAACAGACGUUCACCACCUUCAAAGCCUUACGACGAAAGCGGAGCGGAACGCUCCAAACCAGGCAACAAACAACUCGUUUAUACAUUCUCCUAAUUCCUCUCCGACGGGCCUCGAUGUCUUUCUUCAGCAACAGACUGUUGGGGAUCACGGCUUCAACGUUGCGGUUUUAAGACAGUCGUCUUCCCUCCCCGCUCCUCCGUAUCUCUGUGAUAAACGCCGGAGCAAAUUCAAAGCCAAACAAACACGGAUUCAAAGAAAGAUUUUUGUGGCAACUUAAGGAAAGCGCAUGUUCGUGACAACGUGUCGCCGGAGAGUUUGUUCAGUCGGUGCUCGCUCAGAUAGACCCUGGCUGCUCAUCCUGAGCAGGGAAGUG